GACGAACGCUGGCGGCGUGCUUAACACAUGCAAGUCGAACGGAAAGGCCCUGCUUGCAGGGUACUCGAGUGGCGAACGGGUGAGUAACACGUGGGUGAUCUGCCCUGCACUUCGGGAUAAGCCUGGGAAACUGGGUCUAAUACCGGAUAGGAGCCAUUUUUAGUGUGAUGGUUGGAAAGUUUUUUCGGUGUAGGAUGAGCUCGCGGCCUAUCAGCUUGUUGGUGGGGUAAUGGCCUACCAAGGCGGCGACGGGUAGCCGGCCUGAGAGGGUGGACGGCCACAUUGGGACUGAGAUACGGCCCAGACGCCUACGGGGGGCAGCAGUGGGGAAUAUUGCACAAUGGGCGCAAGCCUGAUGCAGCGACGCCGCGGGGGGGAUGACGGCCUUCGGGUUGGAAACUCCUUUCGCUAGGGACGAAGCUUUUUGUGACGGUACCUAGAGAAGAAGCACCGGCUAACUACGUG
rnacentral:rRNA from 1 species